ACAUUCGCCACGCUCCCGCCGGGGCGGGCUCACCGCGCGCCUCUGGGUGCCGAGCCUCCACAGGCCACAUAGCCGCCACCUGCUGCUGCAUCCCCACUGCGGGGACAGGGGCACUCAGUGCCUCCCUCCGUCCCCCCCGCCCCGCGAAGGCCUCCCAUCCUCCAGGGCCAGGCGGAGGCCACGUCUUUCCCGGGCCCCCUCCCCAACGCGGAGAGGGAAGCGGAGGGAGGAGCUUGGCCCGCAGCCGCCGGCCCUCCCCGCACUGGAGCUCCCCCUCCCCUCCCUCCCCGCCCCUCGGCUGCCGCAGCCCGGCUCGCAGCGCGCGUCAGCGGGGGCUCCCCGGAGCGAGUCGCUAGGUAACGGGGCUGGCUCCGCAGACGCGGGGCCGGGGAAGCCCGCGCGCGUCAUCAGCAGCGGCGCCGCGGGGCGGGGGGCGCAGAGACCCUCCCCAAUCCCGGCCUGCCACCACCUGGCUCGCGCGCAGCCCCGGCCCAGAAUGCCUUAACCUGCGCCGAUUGCUGCCGCCGAGGUGCCCCUCCCCUGUAGGGACCCCGACGCCGCCAGCCCCUUCCUCCUUUCCCGCAGGUGCGCACUGCUGUGCUUGCGGCCGGGUGGGCGCCCCGCCGCUGCGGUCGCGGUCGCCGCUGGUCCUCCCGCCGAGCCCCGGCGCGGGGCAUGAGGAGCCCCCGGGUGCCGCCCAGAGACCAGCAGGCUGCGCGCACACCUAGCCAGCGGCAGACGGGGACAUGAGCAGCGCGCACGGGGUCCCGCGCCCGGCGGCCAGCCCUAUCCGGCGGCGGCCAGCGGGUCAACGCUGCCCGGGAGAAUGAGGCAGGAGCCGGCGGCAGCCUCCUUUUUUUCCUUCUCCUCGCCUUCCUGCGGCUCCGGCGCUCCGGGUCCGGGCCGGGCUGCGGCUCUGCUGCGUGCCCCGCGCGCCCCUCAACCGCCUCCGGAUGCGCUUCUCGGUUAGCCUGGCAAGGAAGAUAAAGACAUUUGCAACCAAGAUGGUAAUCACUAGUGAAAAUGAUGAAGACAGAGGAGGUCAAGAAAAAGAAAGUAAAGAGGAGAGUGUCUUGGCAAUGCUGGGGAUUAUCGGGACCAUUCUGAACCUGAUUGUGAUCAUAUUUGUCUACAUAUACACCACCCUGUGAAUGGCCCAGAGCGUCCUCAGAGGCCUCAGAAUGGCCAAAGACGGAAGUCCUGCGUGUCGGCGCAUCACUGACCAGACCCUGCGAGAACAAGCAGGCUUGACCCGCACAUACCACCCAAUCAAAUGCACCUUCAAACUUUACAAAAGGUCACACAAAUAGACCGAUCCUGCUGCAGGGAGCAGACACUAAAGCACAAUGAUUCCAACAAAACUCAUUCACAGCACUAGGAACUCAACGUCUUUGGCAGGGGGCCCAGAAGAAUGCUUGGAAGACCAGCCUCUGACACCAUCAGUGAGCGGAUGGGUGCAGAAAUUCAUUAUUCCAGAUCGCUGACAGAUAUCACAUAUUUGAAAAGAUGAAUAGGGCGGACAUGGCUCAGAUGUGUGUCUCCCAGGACAAGUGUUUCAUCUUCACUUGACGAGCUAUUUAGUGGAAAAACCACAGGCGCAGCCCUUUGACAGGCAUCCCAUUCAUCAAAAGUGUCUAACUAUUUGAUACUGGGGAGAUAACUUAUUUUUCUUUUUUCAUUGGCUUGACAUGUGUAUCUGUUCAUGUCAAGGUUUAUAAAUAUAUAUUUUUAAUAAAUGUGCUCUAUUUUUUAGCAUGAACCAAAUACUUGGAGAGGCACUCCCAGAUCCAUAGAGCUUUCCUUAGUUUUAUCUGCUUUGUCCCCUCCUCCCCCAACUACAGAUGUUCUGUUGUGGAGCCAUUCUAGUCCUUUUGUCUCAUCUUGAGUCUUUUACCUUGCGCUUUUGUUCUCUCUCUCUCCUCUCUCUCUGCCUCUUUGGUCUGAAGGACAUUUUCCCAUACUGUCAGCCAUGGUUUUGGGUGCAUGUUUUAAGAUUGUCCAUUGAGUGGCUUUUUGUUGUUAUCUCGGAGAUAUAAAAUGAUUGUGGGCAUGCAGACCUUAGAUGCACCCUAUCUUUACUGAGAAUUAUGCAUGAAUAAGGGCUGAGUGAUAGAUCAGCUUAAAAUUAAAAGGACUACCUUUGAGGAAGAAGAGCGUGGCUAUAUUUGCAGAUGAACUUUUGAACAGAAUAUUCAGCUUCUUACCGGCAGCGUUAUUGUUUCAUUCUUGUGACCAUUCGUUUAUCAGAUUUUGAUUUUAGCGGUCAUGUACCGCGAGAGUUGGGAAGAACAAGGGGGAAAGCUCGGGAUUAGGUGCAUUACUCCUUCCUUUGCAAGAUACCUGGGAUCCUCCUCAAAAGCGGGUGGGGUAUAAAUGACACAAGAACUCCCCCAGGAGAUCUCAUGGUGAUUCAGGCUGUGAGGACAGCCCUGUGACAGGUGACUUUUCAGGGACAUGAGGAGGGGAUUUAAUGAUUGCCCUAAAGGACUUCUGUAUUUUUAAAGCCCCUGGUUUACACCCACAUGAAGCUAUUUCCUCUCUGGCAGGGAUGGUUGCAUAAAAACAAAUUAGCUCCCUUCUGGCUCCCUGAAAUGGGCCCUUGCCUGGCUACAGUGGCAUGGCCUUAAAGAGAGGGUUAGUAUUCCUUCUGCCAUUGCCAGCUGUAUUAGUCUGUUUUCACACUGCUGAAAAAGACAUCCCCAAGACUGGGCAAUUUACAAAGAAAGAGGUUUAUUGGACUUACAGUUCCACGUGGCUGAGGAGGCCUCACAAUUACGGUGGAAGGUGAAAGGCACGUCUCACAUGGUGGCAGACAAGAGAAGUGAACAUGUGCAAGGAGACUCCCAUUUUUAAAACAGAUCUCGUGAGACUUUUUCACUAUCAUGCAAACAGCAUGGGAAACCUGCCCCCGUGAUUCAGUUACCUCCCACCGGGUCCCUCCCACAACACAUGGGUAUUCAAGAUGAGAUUUGGGUGGGGUUACAGCCAAACUCUAUCACCAGCCUUGCCCCUGGGCAGAAGCAGCAGCAGUCUGCCUGGCUGGAUUCAAAUGAUUCUGAGGCUUCUAUAGUCUAUGCCUGCAGAUCUCUCCCUCACCCAUGCUAUAGUGUCUGAAAUUCCACCAUUAGAGAGUCAUUUCUUGGGCUCUGUUAAAUGGACCAGGCUCUUUUAUAAAGAAAAUGCCCCUGAGCAGCUGGCUCUGGCAUUGAUUUAUGAUAUCUUCUCUUCCCUGCCAGAAGGAAGGAAGCUAAGGUGCAUGUAGGGCGUACUGUGUGCCCAGGCACUGUGCCAGAUGCUUUGGAUACUUGGAGUCAUUGAAUUCUUGUAGUAACCCUGUGAGAGAGGGAGUCUUUUCUCCACAUUGUAGAAGAAGGAAAAAGGGCUCAGAGAGGUCAAGAAAUGUCCCUGAGAUCACAUGGCUUCUAGUGGAGUCAAGAUCCAAACCCAAUGUGUCUGAUUCCUUAGCCCUUGGGGGUCCGGAGGCUGCUGAACAAGAAAGGAGGUGGAGAGGAGAGAAAGCUGCAGGCAUACCACCGCACACCCUUCUCCCUCCCCUGUAAAAACAACCCUGGGAACUCCCUGGACACUAGCAGAAUAUCAUACACUAAGGAUAAGGGAUGAGAGGAGGCUGGUUAGAAAUAAAGCAGUGUCAGGGGGAAGGAGCUACUCAGUAGGCUCUGUGUGAUUCUAGAAAGACUGUAUGAAAAUUCUGAACAGUGAACAGAAUAAACAAUAAAGGUGCAAUGGAAAAAAAUACUCGAUGUCUUUUCUUUCAACAUUGUGGGAUAUAAAACAUUUCAAUGUCAGUCCUUUGCCUAUACAUAGUGUUUAUUUAUUAAAAAAAAAAACUGAAUGUGAUGCUGUUAAACGGAGA
rnacentral:lncRNA from 1 species